ensembl:lncRNA
GCUGGUCUGCCCAUGCUCUAAGCCCUAGUCGUCAUCAGCUGGUCUGCCCAUGCUCUAAGCCCUAGUCGUCAUCAGCUGGUCUGCCCAUGCUCUAUAAGCCCUAGUCGUCAUCAGCUGGUGAAAAUCAGUCACCCGUCAUCAUUAACAGUUAAGGGAAUACUCAGCCAUUAUGAGGAUUACAGUUACAGAAACUAGCCUUUCAAAGAAAGGAGAGUUUGAAUCGUCACUCAGAGUUCCACAAGCAAGAACUCAUCUUGGUAGAACUCUUCAGUUGACACCACUGUGUGACAUACACAAAUGUUGAAGUGAAGUGCAUGUAUGUUCCUUGGGGAUUUGGCCCUUCGAUGUUUAACUUGCAAUGUCUUGCAUCACUGAGCUUUUAUCACAUAAACGGAGGACAAGCGAUUCAGUCAAAGAAAUACUAAUUUCCCUGAGGAUGUUUUCUAACAGCAUUCCAUGUGUUUUUUCCCCUCCCACUUAUGCAUCCUCUAAUUUGGUUUAUUUUCCCCUCUCUCUCUUUCUUUCCUCAGGAGCGGAAUAGAAAUCAACAGUAAACAUACAGAGAACUCCCUGCUAGAAGGCAAACACUAAUGACAUAGGACCUUAAAUAAUUAGCCUAACCACACGGAAACUAAGGGUUUUGCCAUCUUUUCUGCUGAAGACAACAACAACAAGACGACGACGUCGUAUCUCGUGACUUGAACACGACGACGGACUCGCCUGUAUCAGUUCUCUGGUGAUGUACCCCAGUGUUCCUGUCUGGGGGAAAGGAAAGAACUUUACUCACUUUAAACUCUCUUCUAAAACAGCCUCUACCAAUACCCUGAACUCUCUAAUAACUCUCUUCUAAAACAGCCUCUACCAAUACCCUGAACUCUCUAAUAACUCUCUUCUAAAACAGCCUCUACCAAUACCCUGAACUCUCUAAUAACUCUCUUCUAAAACAGCCUCUACCAAUACCCUGAACUCUCUAAUAACUCUCUUCUAAAACAGCCUCUACCAAUACCCUGAACUCUCUAAUAACUCUCUUAAAGCACUUUCAGUCCUUCUAAAACAGCCUCUACCAAUACCCUGAACUCUCUAAUAACUCUCUUAAAGCACUUUCAGUCCUUCUAAAACAGCCUCUACCAAUACCCUGAACUCUCUAAUAACUCUCUUAAAGCACUUUCAGUCCUUCUAAAACAGCCUCUACCAAUACCCUUAACUCUCCAAUAACUCUCUUAAAGCACUUUCUCUCUGGACUUCUGUUUGUUAUAACUAACUGACUAACCAGUGUAGUUGCUUUUUCUGAGGCUUUCACCAGAUUAUUUGUCGUUUUUUGUUAAGUUUUUAAUACCUCCCAAAUUUUGGGGAAGAAAAAUGUAGUUCCCCUCCCCCCAUGAACUUCAGCACCUUCGGACAAGAUUCAAAAAGGUAGUUCCCCUCCCCCCAUGAACUUCAGCACCUUCAGACAAGAUUCAAAAAGGUAGUUCCCCUCCCCCCAUGAACUUCAGCACCUUCAGACAAGAUUCAAAAAUGUAUAAUGUGUAACAAAACCAUUUACUUGAAUCUGCACUCGGCUUGUGAUUGAUUGACAGGUGAGAGAAAUGACAGGACACGCCCAAAAUAAUGCCAAUCAUUAGACGAACCCGGCCCUUACUCCCGCCCCUUUAUUUCUGCAUCUGUUUCUGUGUAUCAAACGAUGAGAUGGAUGAUGUAGUGAGCUGGGUGAACGGCAGUUAAUGCACAUGUUUGUUUAAUUUCUCAUGAUUAUUAUGUAACUCUGAAGUGCAUUUGUCUGAGGAGAAAUCUGCUCUGCGGUAACAGUCGCCUUGGUAGCUGUCGCCUUGGUAGCUGUCGGUAACUUGUCUUUUAUUCUGUUGUUAAUGUACUGUACCGUACCUCAGGCUAAAGCUGGGGCCUGUUCAGGAGGCUUCAACGUUACACAACAUUCAGAUAGCAAAUGCAUUGUGUAGAGUAGAUAGGAUUCUCUGUUAUGUUGGGAAUCAGGGAAUCUUGUCAGCUCUAUAUAUUCUGUUUCCAUCUGCAACGUUGGGUAAUGUUUCACCUCACUGAGCAGGCCCCAGGCUCUCUGUCUCUGAAGAACUCUAUAACGCUUUUGGGAUGACCCUCCUCCCCUGGCGUUCCUGGCUCCAGGUAGAAGUUACCAUUAACCACAGAUCUGGGAUCAGAUACUUUACCCCACACCCUAACCUAAACCAUGAGGGGGAUGAAAGAUAUAUCUGAUCAUAGAUCAGUGGUUAGGAGUGACUUCAGCGCUGCCCAUUUGCUGCUUGGUGUAACAGAGGGGUUUCCUGAAAGCUGAACAUCACCAAGGAAGUGAGCAUUUUCUCCUCAAGGUGUCUCGCUAGCGAAAAUAAACAUUACCCAUGUUUAGUGAAACAAAUGCUUCUGAGUUGUUACUUCCCAGGAAUUGAACAUAACAUAACAUUGUGCUUGGAGCUCUGCUGAAUGAGUACACACUGGAAGUUAGACCUGAGACACAGUUGAGACUCACCUUCUCUUGUUCAAAACUGACCCCAAAUCAAGUGAAAUGCAUGAAGGGUUACAACACUAGUACCCACUGUGUCAUCCAUUUGUUGUUUCUGCACAUGAUCCUGUAAUAUAACAGCUUUUAGUGCUAUCUGGUAUCCUUGGGAUGUCCCUAGCCUAAAUCCUUAACCCUUACCUAACCUUAACCCUUACCGUAGCCAUUUUACAUUUCAACUUCAAUGGGGCAACGUCAGAGUUGCACGUCCCAAGGAUCCACUUUUCCCAGCUUUUAACUUUCACUAAUAUAAAAUGCCCACAAUUGACACGUCAUAAGCUGUGUCCCAAUAACAUGGCUUCUUCCACUCUCCUUCAUCA